GUCUGAGUGGCUCAGUCAGUUAAGCGUCUGACUUCGGCUCAGGUCAUGAUCUCACGGUUCGUGGGUUCGAGCCCCACAUUGGACU
rnacentral:tRNA from 1 species